rnacentral:rRNA from 1 species
GGCCGCGGGAAUUCGAUUCAGGCCUAACACAUGCAAGUCGAGCGGGAACUUCGGUUCUAGCGGCGGACGGGUGAGUAAUGUAUAGGGAGCUGCCCGACAGAGGGGGAUACCAGUUGGAAACGACUGUUAAUACCGCAUAACGUCUACGGACCAAAGUAUGGGACCUUCGGGCCAUAUGCUGUCGGAUGCACCUAUAUGGGAUUAGCUAGUUGGUGGGGUAACGGCUCACCAAGGCGACGAUCCCUAGCUGGUUUGAGAGGAUGAUCAGCCACACUGGAACUGAGACACGGUCCAGACUCCUACGGGAGGCAGCAGUGGGGAAUAUUGGACAAUGGGCGCAAGCCUGAUCCAGCCAUGCCGCGUGUGUGAAGAAGGCCUUCGGGUUGUAAAGCACUUUCAGCGAGGAGGAAGGGGUGUGUGUUAAUAGCACAUAUCUUUGACGUACUGCAGAAGAAG